rnacentral:tRNA from 1 species
AACACAAAAGUAUUAUAGUAUAACUAAUUUCCACUUAGUAGGAUUUAUUGUGAAA